rnacentral:lncRNA from 1 species
UGGGGGAUGACGGACGGCAAUGGCAGUGUGGCAUCGGUGCGGAUGGCAGACGACAGCGAUGAUGGUAGAGACGGGCUCACUGGCAGGAAGGGAAGCGGGGAGAGCUCAGAGAGGGAGAGAGCAAAGGGAGAGGGGAGAGGGAGAGAGAAAAGGGAGAGGGGAGAGCUCAAGAAGAGAGGAGAGAAGAGGGGAGAGGGGUUAAGUAAGAGGGUUCCACACGAAAAGACAUCGAGUUAACGUGUAU